rnacentral:sRNA from 1 species
GUCACAUGCAACAUUUACAGGAAACUGGCUAGAAGACAGCAGGGGAACUCGAGAAGUUGGUUGUUUUCAGCAGAUUAAAACAACACAGGAACCAGAAAAUGACAAGAAGAGUUGCAUUUGUCUAUGAAAGUGCAUAGAAAGCUUUUCCUGGAAAAGAAUAAACUGGGAAAAGAUGAGUCCUUGAAGUAGAACCCUGUCAUAGUGCAACAAACUGAAUUUAAGAGGCAUCCGUUCCCAGCUUAUACAACAUCCAGUACCAGUUCCACAGCCAACAAUGGAUAGAUUUGGUCUUCCUUGAAGCAUUUAGAGACCUGUAGAAUGAACUUAACUUCUGAAAACUGGGUGCGGGGCCAAUAGAGGGGCUGCUCGAUACCUCACCAGCCUGCUAUGCGGAAGGCUAGAUGGAGGGGCUGCUAAAGGAAGAGAACUGCUGUUCCAACUCCGCCUCCUCCCUGCAGUGUGGCUUCUUAGAAAAGGAGAUACCGCUGGCCCUCCAUAUUCACAAGCUCUGCAUCUGUGGGUUCAGCCAACUAUGGAUCGAAAUAUGCAACUUCAUAUUAUCUUCAUUCAGGAGGGAGAACCCUGAGUUCUUCUGGGUUGGAUCUAAGCAUGGAAGCCAGCUACCGUGUUAAGAGCUGC